rnacentral:rRNA from 1 species
UGGGGAAUUUUGGACAAUGGGCGAAAGCCUGAUCCAGCCAUGCCGCGUGCAGGAUGAAGGCCUUCGGGUUGUAAACUGCUUUUGUACGGAACGAAAAGACUCCUUCUAAUAAAGGGGGUCCAUGACGGUACCGUAAGAAUAAGCACCGGCUAUACUAUACGUGC